rnacentral:rRNA from 1 species
GACGAACGCUGGCGGCGUGCCUAAUACAUGCAAGUCGAACGCAUUUUCUUUCACCGUAGCUUGCUACACCGAAAGAAAAUGAGUGGCGAACGGGUGAGUAACACGUCGGUAACCUGCCCAUCAGCGGCGGAUAACACUUGGAAACAGGUCCUAAUACCGCAUAAUUCCAUUUACCGCAUGGUAGAUGGGCGAAAGGCGCUUUUGCGUCACUGAUGGAUGGACCCGCGGUGCAUUAGCUAGUUGGUGGGGUAACGGCCUCCCAAGGCCGCGAUGCAUAGCCGACCUGAGAGGGGGAUCGGCCACACUGGGACUGAGACACGGCCCAGACUCCUACGGGAAGCAGCAGUAGGGAAUCUUCGGCAAUGGACGCAAGGCUGACCGAACAACGCCGCGUGAGUGAAGGAGGUUUUCCGAUCGUAAAACUCUGUUGGUAGAGAAGAACAAGGAGGAGAGUGGAAAGUUCAUCCCUUGACGGUAUCUAACCAGAAAGCCACGGCUAACUACGUG